rnacentral:lncRNA from 1 species
AUCUACCAAAGUUGCUCAUCGUUACUAUGAAGUUUCAAAAAAUUUGGAGCAUUUUGAUAUUUUUGAAAUUUUUGGUGUAGUUUCCAUGGCAACAUAGUAGUUCCAAUGAUUGCCAAAAUCAUCCAAAACCAGUAUAUGGCUGGCACCUACAUUGUAUUAAAAUAUGAUGAUUCUGAGUUUAAGCAUCUCCAAAUUAUUCACCAAAACCAAAAACUGGAAUUUUUCACAAUUGUUCCGUUUCCAUGGAAACGGCAGCCAUUUUUUAUGGUCUUAGACCCUACUGCAACCCGAAAUUUUGUGUUCCUCCUUAUAGUGAACUAUCAUUAAGAUUGGUUCCAUUUUACUCCAAAAAACCUGUCGGACAAAAAAAGGUGGAAGAAUAAUAAUAAUAAC